rnacentral:lncRNA from 1 species
UGUAUCAUAUUUAUGUAAGUAGUUCAGUUAUUGUUAUGAAAUUAUUUCAUUUUUGAUAUAAAUUGUUUAUAUCAAUGAAUUAUAGCCAAUGAUUUACCUUCUCCACAGGAGCAUGUUGAAGGAUGUGCCCUGCUAUAGUAUUUAAGUUCCAAAUGUUUGUGUUGAAUAGAAUUCUUUCGUCAACCUUCAAAUUAAAGUGAAGUAAAGCGAUUAAAUAAGUGUGUGUCCCCCGCACCAAGCAUCACGGGGGGGGGGGGGGGGGAUAGAAAUAUCGGGUGUCCAUCCGUCCGUCCAACCUUGUGUGUUAUGGUAAAGAUAAAUAAUCAUCCAGUUCAUUUAUUAGAUUUUAGUUUGAUUCAACUAAAUUUAUACGAUAUAUUUGGUUUACUGUUUGAUUUAGAAGAAAUACCGACAUAGCUAGAUAAUAAGUUAAUUAUCUAAUUACUACCAC